AAGCUAGUCCGCAGGUUAACGAAUUCGCCCUUCUACGGGAGGCAGCAGUGGGGAAUAUUGCGCAAUGGGCGGAAGCCUGACGCAGCGACGCCGCGUGGGGGAUGACGGCCUUCGGGUUGUAAACCUCUUUCGACCUUGACGAAGCCUUUCGGGGUGACGGUAGGGGUAGAAGAAGCACCGGCCAACUACGUGCCAGCAGCCGCGGUAAUACGUAGGGUGCGAGCGUUGUCCGGAAUUAUUGGGCGUAAAGAGCUCGUAGGCGGUCUGUCGCGUCGGUCGUGAAAACUUGGGGCUUAACCCUGAGCUUGCGGUCGAUACGGGCAUGACUGGAGUUCGGCAGGGGAGACUGGAAUUCCUGGUGUAGCGGUGAAAUGCGCAGAUAUCAGGAGGAACACCGGUGGCGAAGGCGGGUCUCUGGGCCGAUACUGACGCUGAGGAGCGAAAGCGUGGAGAGCGAACAGGAUUAGAUACCCUGGUAGUCCACGCCGUAAACGGUGGGCGCUAGGUGUGGGGGCCAUUCCACGGUCUCUGUGCCGCAGCUAACGCAUUAAGCGCCCCG
rnacentral:rRNA from 1 species